rnacentral:rRNA from 1 species
GAUGAACGCUGGCGGUGUGCCUAAUACAUGCAAGUCGAGCGAACAGACGAGGAGCUUGCUCCUCUGACGUUAGCGGCGGACGGGUGAGUAACACGUGGAUAACCUACCUAUAAGACUGGGAUAACUUCGGGAAACCGGAGCUAAUACCGGAUAACAUAUUGAACCGCAUGGUUCAAUAGUGAAAGACGGUCUUGCUGUCACUUAUAGAUGGAUCCGCGCCGCAUUAGCUAGUUGGUAAGGUAACGGCUUACCAAGGCAACGAUGCGUAGCCGACCUGAGAGGGUGAUCGGCCACACUGGAACUGAGACACGGUCCAGACUCCUACGGGAGGCAGCAGUAGGGAAUCUUCCGCAAAGGGCGAAAGCCUGACGGAGCAACGCCGCGUGAGUGAUGAAGGUCUUCGGAUCGUAAAACUCUGUUAUUAGGGAAGAACAAAUGUGUAAGUAACUAUGCACGUCUUGACGGUACCUAAUCAGAAAGCCACGGCUAACUACGUG